GGUGAAGUUCAUUGUUCCGUUAUUGUGGGUUAAAGUUAAAAAGGACCAUGCAGAACAGUCCACAAUGACACUGAAUACAACGUUGCCACUCAUUUUGGGUGACCCCGUCUUCUGCAAAAGGUUAGUUCUGCUCGGUGACGUAGUGAAUGGGUCAUCACGUCGAUAGACGUGCUCCCCUGCUGCUCCGCCUUCUCACAGGUAAAGACGACAGGCCAAUAACCCAAAGAAAUAAUCCCAGUGGAAGGCCAAUAGACAAUAAAAGCUCUAUGGACAACUUUGUGGUCAACACUUUGACAGAGUGGCAGCUGACAGACCUUGUACGGAAGGUUGAACGGAAAGAAAUCGAUUUUUUUCCCUUUAUUUUCUUCUCUCCUAUCUUGCCUUUUGUUUUAUUU